AUGACUGUAUGGAGCACCGUUACCUUCCCACCAUAUUUGCAUGUUUUCAAACUGCUAGGAAAACUGCUAGGUGUGCAACAAACUACAACUUAUGUUCAGGUGAGAGUAAAGAUGCUGCAGCGGCUGAUUCAUUUAUUAAGAUGUACAGUUCCAAGGACCAUAUUCAAUAGAAAGGCACCAGAGGGGAGGAUGAUACUUAAUCCAUUCUCUGUUUAUGUGUUUUUCUACUCCAGAUCUGUACUCCACUGUUGGUUUUAUCCCUCCUGCCAGAUAGUAAACAUAUGCUUAUCUUUGCAAACAGAUGCAACAUGUUUUCUGCUGCAAACUACAUGAAAAGCGAGCCCACCUGAUGGUAAGAGCUGUUUGGCAAUAGAGUAUGCUGCCUUGGAGUGUGGUGGAGCUUCCUUCUUUGGAGGUUUAAACUAAGGCUGGAUAACUAUCUGUCAGGAGUGCUUUGAUUGUGUAUUCCUCCAUGGCAGAAUGGGGUUGGGCUGGAUGGUCCUUGUGAUCUCUUCCAAUUCUAUGAUUAAAAUAACUAUCUCCCUGAAAAUUGUGUAUGUAUUUCCAUGACAAUAUAAACAAGACAGUCUGAUAUUAAACAUCAUGUCUCUCUUUUUUACCUUGUUUUCCUAUGUAUUUUGGUUUGUGCAUUUCACUCUCAUUCACUCCUAUUGCUUAGUCCCAUGGUUCCCUGUUUAUUAUUUGCAGGCUGUUUUUAAAAAAAUAAAGACAUUAUCCCUCUGCAAACAGACCAGGAGUUUCCUCCGAACUGCAACGUUUUCACAGGAAAUUGGGGAAGGAUCCAUCUGCAUUCAGUUUAGACUCCAUAAAAGUGUGAGAUGGCACUCACUGGCUGAACAAUAAAGCCAUUAACAGGCUUCUUUCUAUCAAAACAAUAGAUCUGCACAUUUUGCCUCAUAACUUGGCUUCCAGAACAGCUGGGCAGGGGGAUAACUGUAGUUCUUUGUAUGUUUUUUGCCUAUAAAUCUACUUUGACCUAAUCAGCAUAGGCAAAUGUGAAUUAUUGUUGAAGUGGUGGGCAAAAAACAAUGGGGGUGUCACAGUUGUUCACCUCUAGGUUAUUGAUAUCUGUUUGGGCAUGGAAAUAGAUACACACAUUCUCACACAUAUGCAUACAAAUAUAGGUGGAGUUUUUGUAGUUUUUAACAAAUUGUAGUAUUUUGAAUGUUUUAAUGUACAAAAUGUUUAAUUGUUUUGAACUGUAUAUUUAUAUCUUUAUUCUGUUUUCUCUACCUUGAGUCCAAUUUGUGGGAAUAAUAAUAAUAAUAAUAAUAAUAAUAAUAAUAAUAAUAAUAAUAAUAAUACAGAAAAUGAACACGUCAAACUACUCUGGGAUUUCUGAAUUCAGAUUGACAAGAGUUUUGUGGCACAAUACUCCUGACAUCACGAUCGUAUUAAAAAACACAAUGUGGAUCAUUGAUGUUGCAAUCCCAGGUGACAGCAUAAUCGACAAGAAGCAACUGGAGAAGCUUAAGCGUACAAGGAUUUAAAGAUCAAACUGCAAAGACUCUGGCACAAGCCAGUCAAGGUGGUCCCAGUGGUGAUCGGCACACUGGGUGCAGUGCCUACAGACCUUGUCCUGCACUUAAACACAAUCAGUGAUGACAAAAUUACCUUCUGUCAGCUGCAAAAGGUCACCCUACUCGGAUCUGCACACACUAUUCGCCGAUACAUCACAUAGCCUUAGACACUUGGGAAGUGUCCAACGUGUGAUCCAAUACAACAGACAGCAUAGUAAUCUUGUUUGCUGUGUACUCAUCUUGUUGUGUAUCAAAUACUAAUAAUAAGUACUCUGGAAUCCAGGCCAGAUAAUGGUCCAAAUGGGCCCCAGGUAAUAUGUACAGAAUUAAUAUGUUGUUAGCCACCUUUAGUCCCAUUAGGAGGAAUAUAAAUGAUGAUGACAAUAGUGACAACAACAGCAAUAAUCAUAGCAAUAUUAAUAUAACAAAGAUGUAUAAUGAGUGCUGAAAAUUCAGGCCAUUUAAUGGCCCAAAUGGGCACCAGGAUAUGCACAGAAUCCAGAUAUUAUCCCACGUAGGUAAUGUCAGCGGGGAUGAUGGGUAGCAGAGUGAAAUCCAAAAAAUUCACCAUCCCGGUUCACCUCCUUCUCUCCAGACUGUUUCCCCGUGUGGAAAACAGCACUGGACAAACUCACUCCAGCAGAUGAGGGUUCAGUUGGUAGUCCAACGGCAAACAACUUUAUUUACAUGUUCUAUUUACAGACAGAGCAAAUUCAGUCCUUUCCUCCAUGAGUUCUUUCCGAAGGCACACACACGCUGCUCAUUGCUCAUCGCUGUUCUCCGCUCGACACAGGAAAACUCCCUCGCAUUCCACAGGAACAAGAUAGUAAGUCCCGGUCAAAACACACUUGACCCCAUUGGUCCUGUGAUACAUCAAUCAUAGCAGACUCUCAUUAACUCCAUAAUUGCUGAAUCCAGAUUGAUUUUAACAUUUCACAAUACACAAUACCCUGACAGGUAAUAUAGCAACACUAUAUUAUGUGGAUUUAUAAGAGCAUUGUAUGAUGUGCAGUAUGACCCCAUAGCUAUGGGGGAUACAUGAAACUCUAGAUCAAUGGUUCUCAGUCUGUGGGUCCCCAGAUGUUUUGGUCUUCAACUCCCAGAAAUCAUAACAGCUCAUAGACUGGCUGGGAUUUCUGGGAGUUGUGGGCCAAAAUACCUGACGACCCAAAGGUUGAGAACCACUGCUCUAGAUAAUAAUGAGGCAUGUUGAAAUGAAGGACCUCCAACCCCCAGAAUACCUUAAAAUUACACUGGAAAUGUCUAGGGAGGUCAAAUUUGGUUGGGCAUGAAUAAAUGAAACAUGGUCACCAGCCCUGCAGAUAGAUAAUUGUAUUGUACUAUUUUGCAAAUUUUAUAUGAUGUCAGCAAGCAGAUAUGAUCAUAUUAUCUGUGACUAAUUACAUCAAAGAUUUUAAAAAUGGUUGUUUAUCAUCCAUAUAUGAACCCUUUGGUUUUGUUUGUGCCCUGUCUUUAAUUGAUAUAUUUCCCCUUAUCCACACCCUCAUUCCUUUUGGGGAUAAAAAAGUGAUGAUGCAUCAAAGGAAAGUCAUGAAGACAAUAUGUAAAAAGUAGGUCAUUUUACUCAGGAGAGACAAUGAAGACUUCCGUUUUCUGGAGAGAAAUGUUUUCUGGCAUUUUGUAAGCAAGGUCUGGCCUCUACUCGCUGCCCUUCUGUAUCUUGAGUGAGCAGUUAAUGCCCAAACCUUUGGCAGCGGUGCAGAUGCAGAGUGUGCUGAGUGGAUGGGAUGGCGACUGGCCACCAAAGUCUGUCAACAGACAGCUGAUUGUGGGAGCAGAUGUUGCGGCUGCCCAGAAAAUGUUCUGAUCUUCAAUUUUUAAUGAAACCGAGUCAUUCAGCUUGCAGGGAAUUUUGGCAAGGGAUGAUUUACAGGAUAAUGGAAGUGACUGAUGACAGAACCACGGCUCUUGUUAAGGCCCUUUCAUUUACAACACCAUUGGCACAGGUUUGGCUCCUUUUCAGAUUGUAAAGCCUGUUUCUUGGCACACUGAGUCACUAAUUGCCUCUAUGGUUUCAUUAAGAGCAGAUGAAUUGCUAAGGAGCAAGUGUUAGUCAUACUCUGAUCAAGGUGCACAGAUAUUCUGAGCAUG
ensembl:lncRNA